CCGGGGGUCCCCAACCAGGAAGAGGCAGCGCUGCCUGGCGCAGAACAGCCGGCUGCCAGCGCCUGCUUCACCUCAGCCCUCAGCAGCAACCCGGACAGAGUUUUGUAGUCUUCCCAUCAACCCGGGCAGCUUCCAACAAGCCCUACCUUUCUAUGCCACCUAGCCAAUAGACAAGACACAAAGAAAAAAAGAAAAGAAAAGAAAAGAAAAAGGAGGCAACAACACGCGCCGCUGUCUCUCCUUGCAGUCUCAACCUCUAGCCUGGAGAUGGGAGGAAGAGGAAGCGCACCUUCUCUUCCCAUCCCAACUCCGUGACCCGCGGAUCCCGGCAGUAAAGAGCCCCGAAGAGGCCGAAGGGAAGAGGUGAGGUUGGAAGAAGCAGAAAGCAGAGCGAGAGAGGAGAAAAUAUCCAACAAAACCACGCUAACGCGCCCCCUACCUGGGUGCAACAUACUUUGGAAAUAGAAGAUGACCAAGAUAAAGGAUCCGAAGCAAGUGGCCAGCACCAUCCGGCAAAUUCUGUUCAUCCUCAUCACUUCCAGCAGCGCCGGCUUCAUGGCUUUGUCCUGGCCGCGGGGACCCGGCUGUCCGGGAGGCGCGUCCCGAGCGCAGAAGCGGGGACCCCGCCGCGGGGGUACCAGCACCGGGGAGGCUCAGAACAGAGCUGGCUGGGCUCCGGAGCUGGCUCCCGCUAGCUUCACCGAGGCUCUCCGAGGCCCCGACUCUGGUCUAGAGGGUGAAAGGCGCAGGAGUUGGUGUGCAAGUGUGAGGAUGCGUGGCUCCGGCCGCGCGCUCCUGCCGGUCCGCCUCGCCUCUGCUCGAUGCUCCGCCGCCUCCUCUGCUGGCGCCUGCGGCCGCCGCUGCCUCCUCACGGGCCGGGCGACCGGGAUGCGAGAAGGAAGGUGCCGCCGCCGCCGUGCACUGGCCUCUGUGACUGUCCAGGCCCCCCUCCCUCCCUCCCUCGCCAAAAGCUACUUCAUUGCGCUCCAGUGAUCUAUAUAUUCCAGGGCUGGGUUUUACCAAACGCAACUCGCAGCCCCCGGCGAGGGGAGGGCGCCGGCGAGCGGGGAGGGCGGGGCCGCGCCGGGGCGGAGCGUCGCCUCCCCCCGCCCCUACCCGAGACGUGGUCGCGUCCAGCUGUUUCCCGGGGAGUCCGGAGUGCGCAGCACGCUCCCGCAGGGUCCCAAAAGCCCUCAGUCCCUGGGCGGAGCUGGGCCGCUGUCUCGAGGUUGCGUGAACGUUUCCAUGACACAACCGGGAUGGGGGAAAACCAUGAAUAAGAUGCUGUAGUGCUGCCACCCGUUCUCCGGUGUGGCGAGAAGCAGGUUAGGUGACAGAGGCAAACAGGAGCCCUGCUGACACGCGACCAUUUACAAUCCCUGGGCGGUUUAGCAGGGGAAGUUGCCCCACGCUCCCCUAAGAGCGGAUGCCCUUCUCAUACUGAUCAAAAACUGGGCAGUUCCGUUUUUCUUUCAAAGGACAGCUCAGCUUGAGGGCUGCUUUUGCAAAGAGGUUAAAGAGAGCGGACUUAAAGUCAAGGUUAGGGAAACUGUUCCGGCAUCCCAGGAUCUGGUGACUGCCGCUGCUAGCCUUUCUGACACGUGCCCUCACCCGCACCCCUCGGGGCAAAGCGGGUUUGUAGCUUUUAAAACUGUUUCACCAAAAGGUACAGCUUUCUGUAAUUUAUUCGAAGUGUAUGAGAAUCAGUCGGACGGAUGUGAAAAGACGCCCCUAAAAGUCCAACAAAGUGUUGGGAGUGGAGGCUGGGAGGGGGAGAUCCAAGCCAGCUUAGCCUUGGCAGGUAGAGAGAAAGAUGGCGCUGCUUACCUGCAUUGUGUAAAAUGUUGUUAAAUGCUCAGCUCCAUGCAUUUGGGUGGCCAAGGAUCAAUAAGGUGGACGCGGGUCAAUGAUAAGGAGAUCACUUUUAUGCCAGGAAAGCAGGGUUAUUGUAAAGCCUGACCUUUCUACUUUACCAUUAAAUGCAUUU
rnacentral:lncRNA from 1 species